rnacentral:rRNA from 1 species
GCAGUCGAACGAGUUCUCGUUGAUGAUCGGUGCUUGCACCGAGAUUCACACUCGAUCGAGUGGCGGACGGGUGAGUAACACGUGGGUAACCUGCCCUUAAGUGGGGGAUAACAUUUGGAAACAGAUGCUAAUACCGCAUAGAUCCAAGAACCGCAUGGUUCUUGGCUGAAAGAUGGCGUAAGCUAUCGCUUUUGGAUGGACCCGCGGCGUAUUAGCUAGUUGGUGAGGUAAUGGCUCACCAAGGCGAUGAUACGUAGCCGAACUGAGGGGUUGAUCGGCCACAUUGGGACUGAGACACGGCCCAAACUCCUACGGGAGGCAGCAGUAGGGAAUCUUCCACAAUGGACGCAAGUCUGAUGGAGCAACGCCGCGUGAGUGAAGAAGGCUUUCGGGUCGUAAAACUCUGUUGUUGGAGAAGAAUGGUCGGCAGAGUAACUGUUGUCGGCGUGACGGUAUCCAACCAGAAAGCCACGGCUAACUACGUGCCAGCAGCCGCGGUAAUACGUAGGUGGCAAGCGUUAUCCGGAUUUAUUGGGCGUAAAGCGAGCGCAGGCGGUUUUUUAAGUCUGGUGUGAAAGCCCUCGGCUUAACCGAGGAAGCGCAUCGGAAACUGGGAAACUUGAGUGCAGAAGAGGAGAGUGGAACUCCAUGUGUAGCGGUGGAAUGCGUAGAUAUAUGGAAGAACACCAGUGGCGAAGGCGGCUCUCUGGUCUGCAACUGACGCUGAGGCUCGAAAGCAUGGGUAGCGAACAGGAUUAGAUACCCUGGUAGUCCAUGCCGUAAACGAUGAGUGCUAAGUGUUGGGAGGUUU